UUGAAAAAUCUAAAUACGUGUUUUUGUUGUGGUCAAAUUAAAUUAUUAAGCCAUUGAAUCAAUGAUAAUCUCAAAACACAUUAUUAUCGCCGGAUUUGAAUUAUUGUUAUGUGCGUAUAAAAAAAACGGGUUAUCAAAUAAUAAAUCAUUUUAUGAUAAACAAUAUCCGGUAACAUAAAUUCGGGUUACGGACGUACGUAGUUUCCUUUGUAAUGUCAUCGAUAUUUUUUUAGUUUUUUGUGCACGAAUAUUGGUUAAUUGUUUAAAGUUUCAAACUGAAUGUCACACCAAUAAAUUUAGUGCUGAUAAUGGUCAAUUGCUAACAAAUAAUUGUUCAUGUUCUAAUAAUAAUUACUGAGUGCAUAAUGAAGCUAUUUAAGAAAUAUUUUAAAAUACGUCCAUUUGGUAUUAACUGGUGACCAGUGCAGAAACUAAGUUUUUCGGGACCCCUGUAUUGGGAAGAUGGAUUGAAGGAGUGCGAUCUCUCUGUAAAAUUAUUAAAUACUUAAGACAUAACUAUUUUUUAUUUAGAGAGCGCGGGGCUCAUGUCCCGUUUACCUCGUCCUCGAGACAAUACUGUUAGUGACGUCCAAUGAAUAUUUCGGAUAAUAAGCAAUACAUUUAGGGAAUGUAAACAAUUUUAAGUAGUAAGUACAAAUUAAGAACACUCAAUACUUUACAGAGGAGGACACAGACCAGCUAUGCAGUGUGUAACAUUAUUCUAUUACCAAGCCAGUGGCGACAAUAGGGAGAUGUGAAGAUUGCGGCUACAUUAAGGGGGCCUUUCUAACUAUCCAGAAUAUCAAUUUUUGUUUUAUGUUCCAACCGAAUUGUAAAUGGGAUUCCUAUUUUUUUCCGCGUCGGGGUCAAAUUCGUAUAUUUAUGCCACUCUACUCGACUAUUUUGAUGACAUUUUAUUACUGUGUAGAAUAACGUCCAUCUUUGUAUGAGAACUGGCAUAUUCAAUCGUUUGAAAAUUUCAAUAAAGUCUACAAAUUGGCAUUCAAGAGAAUAAUACCAGUGUUGAAUUCAGAAUUUUUCCACGGGAUUCUAAACUUUUUUGCGAGCAGAUAAAAGUUUUUAAACUAUGCCUAGACUCAACGCUGGGUAAUACGAAACUGAGCUGCCUCCAAGUUGAAUCUUCGCGUAAGCUUACAAUUUGAACAUGAACAAUGAAUUGCCGCUGUAACUUUGAAACCUAAUCAACUAUAAUCGAGUUUCAUAACGACAGUCACCGUCUAUGAAUAUUUAUAUUACUCCUACCGUCGGCCGUUGCAAUAUUUAAUUUGUGUAUAACCUCUCUACAUUUUUUGUGAACAAAAAACUUUUCGGUGUAUUAAUGUACAGGUGUAUUGUCGUACAACACAUGUCAAUUAUUGUUCGCGUGGAAAUAAUAUAAACACAAUGUAGUCGUCGUCAACUGAAUUCGUUCCAAUAAUAGUCACUUCAUCGAUUCUCUGUAAAACUGCUUGCACACAGGUACUCUAUUACUGACGACAACGUCGGCGUGUCCUUCGGCCGCACGAAUUCCUAGUGAAUGACUAUCGUCUAAAUUAACUAACACACAUAAGUAUGUCAGUAUAAACCAGAAAGAUUAUUCAGAAAAUGUAAAUGCAUCGUUAAUUAUUAUUGUUACAGCCCGCCCACCUUACACCGCACAACUGGCGUUAUACCUGCCCAGCAUACCCGUUUAAUGCAAUUAUUGAACAUUUCAAGACGAUGCUUUUGAUUAACAGUAUUCGGAAAUACUUGCGUUAUUUUUAUAUGUGUUUGCCGCGGUCGAUAUUCAGAAUACCUUUAGUUGAAACAGAUGUUCAAUAAAUUAUGCACUGUAUAAAUGAGAUUUUCACACGUUUCACUAACACCUUCACUGGCGCUACUGUUGCGUACACUUCAUUGCCUUUGACGACAACUGAAAUAUAAAUACGAAAGAGAGCUAUCAAUUGUUUUAGGCGUACUUAAGAUACUUUUCAUGAAGGCUGCUCCCCCACUAGUUCUUUUUGGUUCUUGUAAAAACAAUACGUAAUGUUUCUUAGAAAUGAAAAAGAGCAGCCGUACCCUAAGCUACGUAAACAAGAUUUUGGAAUUAUUUUUAUUUUACUACCACCAAUGGAAUAAUUGAAUUUUAUGAUUUACUCAAUUCAUUUUUAAUUUUUCCUCAAGUUAAUUUCUUUUUCUUUUUUUAAAAAAGUAUAAAAAUGUUUUAUAAAAAGAGUUUUUAAUUUAAUUAGCUUCAGAGUCGUAUCCAGAAUAUUUUUUUCGUCAGGGAACCAAAAUAUAUAUGUGUAUGUGUGUUGUAAAAUAAUUCGGGAGGGUAAGGGGGUCCAGACCCUUUAGACCUCCCUCGGAUUUAAUUAAAGUUAAUAUACACUUACUAAACGUUUGCGCUCUAUAAAAUAUUUAGACUUCUUAAAUACAUUUAAUUGUGUUUUGGAUUAAAAAUAUGUACAAAAUGAUUUGAUAUAAAUGGUGACAUUUUUAAGCUUAAAAUAGAG